AUUAAUUUGACACGAAAAUAACUUGGCACGGCAACCCAACUCAAAACAAUUAAUCCAACCCUUCCUUUACUACUUCUCGAGCCCAGUUCCCAUUUAAUUAAAAUAUUAGCCCAACAUUUUAGUUAGGGAGGUCCAGAUCAAAACUAAGUGGCCCAAAUAGAAAACAAAACUCUAGCACUCCCUUCCCUUAACCCAUCGGAAACUUCCCCUCAAAAACACAAUUUCUCCGAAUUCAAUCUGGAGGCGCCGGUAUAUCCCCCGUCGCCCUCGCUUCCCUCCGUCACCGGUCAGAAAAUCGCCGGCUCCCUCACAUCUCUGAGGACUCUCUCUCUCUCUCAUUUCCCUUCCUUCUCCAGAUUCGGAAACCUCUCCCGUUGGACACAACAGCGCCUCCUACUCUUCUUCGCUCGAUUCGCCGCUGUCAUCCCCUCUCCGGCGUUCGCAAAACAGCUGCCGGGAUCCAGCAGGGCCCUCCGUCGCGCUCUCGUUCGGCGAGGUUCACGCCGCCGCCACCUCUGCUUUUGGCUACAUCCGCGAUCUCGCAGAUCUUCCUCAGCGACGAGCCGCCCCCUUUUUUCCCGGCGUUUCUCAGACACGAGCUAAGUUCUUUAUCUUGGUGAAUUAAGUUCGAUUUGGAGGGAUUUUGCCCUAAGUCCGAACUCUUGUUUACGACAAAACUUAGGCAGUAGCUUGUGAGAUUUUAGGUUCUUGAAUUUGUUUUCCGCGUUGGAGUUCCGCAUAGUUGCUACUGAUUUGGCCUAAGAGGCAGAUUAUGAUUUUCCCUGUACCAAUUUGCUAUGAUGUGAUUUACUGAUCCUAUAUGGGGUUAGCAUGCUAUUUGAGAUUCCUAAAUUAUCGUGCUUCUUCCUGAUGACAUUUCAAUUUGGGUGGGGGUGGAGGUGUAUUACCUCUUGAAACAACUGCUGAUCUCUUCCUCUGAUCCUAAGACUCGCAGCCAGUUCACUUGUGUCUCUGGCCCUUUUGUUAAGUUAGGGAAAGAGUGAGUUUGGGUUGAGCAUAACAAAGUCUUGAGGAAAGGAAGGAAGAUGUGUUACCUAAGGAGGAAAGAAACUAUCUGCAGGGAAAUCUGCAGAAACUCUUCUCCCAAAUACUCACUUUCAAACUCGCUAUUAGGUUGAAGAUUUUGAAUAAGGGGGAGGGUCUUGGAGGUGGUGUGGGGGUUCUUAUAGGAGAACUUUUAAAUGGCUGUUAGUAUAGCUUUGUCUCCACUUGAAGCAUAUCUCUUUAGUUGAUUCAUUUGUAGGACUAAGUUUUGGUGUUUCUUGUAGUACUAUGCACUUUUCCAUUUAUUUCCUCUUGUUCCUACAUGACUACCUAAUACAUCACCUUACAAGUCAUUUAAUUACUCUUGUUUGAUUUGCACAGCUCUCGGUUGGCUAGGAGAGAGUGUAGGAGUUUACUUGCCAUCUUAGGCAAGACUUGUGCGUACUUUUUGAAAGGUUUGGACACUGAUCCGGCUGCCUCGCUGCUGACCGCGACGUGGGCUCGCUGCCCUAGGCCAACAGGCUGAUCGGGUAGGGCCGCGGCAGUUGCAAUUUGGGCUCGGGAGAAGAAGGCCCAAAGUUUAGCAAAACUUUUAGUUUCUUAGCCUUUUGGCCCAUCCAUGAAUAAUUGUAAUAGAGUAGUGUCCCAUAUCCCCUUCAUCAUUUUGUGCGAAACGAUCAUGUACUUUAAGUAUUAUUCGAUAUGUAUACGCAAACACUUUCAUUCGGGAAA